rnacentral:rRNA from 1 species
CUCCUACGGGAGGCAGCAGUAGGGAAUCUUCCGCAAUGGGCGCAAGCCUGACGGAGCAACGCCGCGUGAGUGAGGAAGGCCUUCGGGUUGUAAAACUCAGUCACCUGGGAAGAGAGGUAUGGGGAGUGGAAUGCCCCAUACGAGACGGUACCAGGGGAGGAAGCCCCGGCUAACUACGUGCCAGCAGCCGCGGUAAUACGUAGGGGGCAAGCGUUGUCCGGAAUCACUGGGCGUAAAGCGUGCGUAGGCGGUCUUUCAAGUCCGGGGUGAAAACUCAAGGCUCAACCUUGAGAAUGCCUUGGAAACUGGGGGACUUGAGUACUGGAGAGGCAAGGGGAAUUCCACGUGUAGCGGUGAAAUGCGUAGAGAUGUGGAGGAAUACCAGUGGCGAAGGCGCCUUGCUGGACAGUGACUGACGCUGAGGCACGAAAGCGUGGGGAGCAAACAGGAUUAGAUACCCUGGUAGUCCACGCUGUAAACGAUGAGUGCUAGGUGUUGGGGGUUCAUCCCCUCAGUGCCGAAGGAAACCCAAUAAGCACUCCGCCUGGGGAGUACGGUCGCAAGACUGAAACUCAAAGGAAUUGACGGGGGCCCGCACAAGCAGUGGAGCAUGUGGUUUAAUUCGAAGCAACGCGAAGAACCUUACCAGGGCUUGACAUCCCUCUGACCGGUUCAGAGAUGGACCUUCCCUUCGGGGCAGAGGAGACAGGUGGUGCAUGGUUGUCGUCAGCUCGUGUCGUGAGAUGUUGGGUUAAGUCCCGCAACGAGCGCAACCCUUGACCUGUGUUACCAGCACGUAAUGGUGGGGACUCACAGGUGACUGCCGGCGUAAGUCGGAGGAAGGUGGGGAUGACGUCAAAUCAUCAUGCCCUUUAUGUCCUGGGCUACACACGUGCUACAAUGGGCGGUACAACGGGAAGCGAGACCGCGAGGUGGAGCGAAACCCAAAAAGCCGUUCGUAGUUCGGAUUGCAGGCUGCAACCCGCCUGCAUGAAGCCGGAAUUGCUAGUAAUCGCGGAUCAGCAUGCCGCGGUGAAUCCGUUCCCGGGCCUUGUACACACCGCCCGU